CCUACGGGUGGCAGCAGUGGGGAAUAUUGCACAAUGGGGGAAACCCUGAUGCAGCUACGCCGCGUGAGUGAAGAAGUAACUCGUUAUGUAAAGCUCUAUCAGCAGGGAAGAAAAUGACGGUACCUGAGUAAGAAGCCCCGGCUAACUACGUGCCAGCAGCCGCGGUAAUACGUAGGGGGCAAGCGUUAUCCGGAUUGACUGGGUGGAAAGGGAGCGUAGACGGCAGUGCAAGUGAGUUGUGAAAUCCCUCGGCUUAACUGAGGAACUGCAACUAAAACUACUUCCGUUGAGUACUGGAGAGGAAAGUGGAAUUCCUAGUGUAGCAGUGAAAUGCGUAGAUAUUAGGAAGAACACCAGUGGCGAAGGCGACUUUCUGGAAAGUAACUGACGUUGAGGCACGAAAGUGUGGGGAGCAAACAGGAUUAGAUACCCGUGUAGUC
rnacentral:rRNA from 1 species